AACGAACGUUGGCGGCGUGGAUUAGGCAUGCAAGUCGAACGAAUGCCAGUUGUGUAGCAAUACAUGACUGGAGGAAGUGGCGAAAAGGGGCAGUAAUGCAUGGGUAACCUACCUUGGGGAUGGGCAUAGCCGUUCUAACGGACGGGUAAUUCCCAGAGAUUCGACGGGAAGGCAUCUUUCUGUCGGGAAAUGAGUUUCGCCUCGAGAGGGGCCCGUGUGCUAUUAGCUAGUUGGUAGGGUAACGGCCUACCAAGGCUAAGAUGGCUAGCGGGUGUGAGAGCACGACCCGCGCCACUGGCACUGAGACACUGGCCAGACACCUACGGGUGGCUGCAGUCGAGGAUCUUCGUCAAUGGGCGCAAGCCUGAAACGAGCGACGCCGCGUGAGCGAAUGAAGGCCUUCGGGUUGUAAA
rnacentral:rRNA from 1 species